AACGAACGCUGGCGGCAUGCCUAACACAUGCAAGUCGAACGAGACCUUCGGGUCUAGUGGCGCACGGGGGCGUAACGCGUGGGAACCUGCCCUUAGGUUCGGAAUAACUCCCCGAAAGGUGUGCUAAUACCGGAUAAUGUCUUCGGACCAAAGAUUUAUCGCCUUUGGAUGGGCCCGCGUUGGAUUAGCUAGUUGGUAGUGUAAAAGCCUACCAAGGCGACGAUGCAUAGCUGGUCUGAGAGGAUGAUCAGCCACACUGGGACUGCGACACGGCCCAGACUCCUACGGGAGGCAGGAGUGGGGAAUAUUGGACAAUGGGCGAAAGCCUGAUCAAGCCAUGCCGCGUGAGUGAUGAAGGCCUUAGGGUUGUAAAGCUGUUUUACCCGGGAUGAUAAUGACAGUACCGGGAGAAUAAGCUCCGGCUAACUACGUG
rnacentral:rRNA from 1 species